rnacentral:rRNA from 1 species
UACAGAGGGUGCGAACGUUGCUCGGAAUUACUGGGCGUAAAGCGCGUGUAGGCGGACCGGUAAGUCAGAUGUGAAAUCCCUGGGCUCAACCCAGGAACUGCAUUUGAAACUGCUGGUCUAGAGUAUCGGAGAGGGUGGCGGAAUUCCUGGUGUAGAGGUGAAAUUCGUAGAUAUCAGGAGGAACACCGGUGGCGAAGGCGGCCACCUGGACGGUCACUGACGCUGAGACGCGAAAGCGUGGGGAGCAAACAGG